ensembl:lncRNA
GUGCACCGCACACCGCCUCCCCCCACUCCUCCUCCUCCUCCUCCUCUUCUCCUCCUCCUCCCAACCCAACCCAACCCCUCCGGCUCCCCCAGCAGUGAGGCCGAGCGCACACGCCCCCCUCCGCUCGGCUUUCCGCGCAAUUCUCGCGCAACGCACCCCCACCCCUUUUUCUUUAUUAUUAUUAUUUUUCUUCUGUAUGUUUGUUGUUGUUUUCUUUUUCCCCCUUUUUUAUUUUCGCUUUUCCCUCCCCCCACGCUCCCCUCGGAGGAGAAACUUUGCGAGGGGAUCCGCGUCCAGGGAGGUAAGAGGAAAUGGAAAUCGUUCUCUGCAAACUUUGGGAAGCGCUUUGCUGCGAGGAGAAAUUCUGUGACUACAAAGACCAGAGUGUGAGUUACCAGCUGAGACUUUUGGACCUGGGAUAACAAGCUGCAAACCUCUUCAACUGCCUCACGCGUCAAAAGACUCUCCAUCUGUCAUUAAUAUGCAUCAAAGAUAAGGAUGCCUGUGGGUCAGGAUGAGCAGAAAAACAGUCCUACUCUGCAACAGAGAAUUCAAGGAGCCCAGGGACCUAACCCAAAUCUGGAGGGAGAGUUUUAGAAAAGCAUUUAAGUGGCAGGUUCCAGUGCAAGUCAGAACCAUGCUUGUAAAUCAACAAGAUCCUUUAAAAAUCCCACCGUGUCACCUGCCCUCAGCAUCUAGAGUGGUUGUUUAUUUUGCAGACAUCUUCACAAUUCCAUUCUCAAGAUUAUAAUUCACUUGGUGGUACCGCAGUUCUCGCACCCUUGAAGUUAAGUAAAUGGUUAAGUGCAGUGGUGGUUCAGAGCUAGAAGACUCUCUACCUUGCAGGAUUGAGCCCUUUAAUCUAUUCUUAUUUCCUUUUCAAUUUCUGCAAGUAACCCCAAGCAAGCUGGAAACACUAAGUGCAAAGUUACGGGAGAUGACUGUGGCAAUUUCUGAAUGACAAGAGCAUUUAAAAGAAAUGUCAAGAGUCUGUGGGCUGCAAGCUUUUAUGUUUCAAGGAGAAACAAAAAGAAAGGAGGGACAAUAAAUCAAACACAACAGCUUAGCGUGCUCCAUCUCUCAGAGUUAACCUCUUGAAAGCCAUGUCCCCAGCACAGAGUGGGCCACACUCUUUGAUAGGGUCCAUUAUUCUCUGUAGAGCAAUAGAGGUGGUAUGGUGGGCUCCUCCGUGCGUGCCCAGGGGCUGUGUACACUGCGCCUUGCUUAACAUGUGCUCUGCAUUUAUGGGUUAACAUCAAACAUGAGCUGAUUUAUAAUUCUUAAUCAAAAAAGGAUUAUAACCUAAUAAAUCCUAAUAACAUAUUCUGUCUGGAGGUUAUGUGGUGUAGUUGUAUAAUAUACUGGUAGCCUCAUUCUCCUAAGACUGGAAGACUGGACAAAGUUUUAUACUUGUCAAACAACUGUUCCCUUUGCUUAAAUGGAUCAAGACCCUUUAAGCACCGUGAUGCAAAUGGUCAUCCCUCUGAAUGGAGUCUUUCGUGCUAUAACAAGUUUUGAAGUACCUAGAAGCAUACCAGGAAACUUGCUGCACCUCUGUGGACUGGAUGUCUCAUCUCACUUCAAAGGCUCACUAGUGCUGGUUAAGGCCUAACUGUUGGCCAUUAGCUGAAUCUAAGCAUGAAACAUGUCAAACACAUCACCGAUGGUAGUCAGAGCCCUAAUGAGACCUCAAGAACUAACUAAUAGAGGCUAAGUGACAGUUUGUACAGAGCCUUUGUUUUCCAAGUUAAAAAAACGUUGGCACAAAAGACAAGUUAACCCUCUGUUUUGGAUUUUCUGAAUUUUGGAUCUCCUACCUAGGCAGGCAGGUAUUAUUGCAGGGAACCUGUAGGUAAUCCAGACCUGCCAAUUAUCUGAGGAGGUUUCUGAGCCUUCUGUUCCCAAAGAAUGAUCAUCUUCUCUCCAAUCCAUACUCUGCCUCCCAGCAGAAGUCUGUUCUGGAAGAUCGUUUUACUUCCCGGGAGACCUAAUUAACACUAAAGACUAAUGGAGGCUAUAGUGUAGAGAUUUUUUUUUUUUUUUUAAUUUUGACUUUAGUGCCAUUUUAGAAGCUUCUCCUCCCUGCUCUUUAUUUGCACACAAUAACUAAAACACCACAGUGGGGAAGAUGUGACCAAGGAGACUCAUGGUAAUUUCAAACUGGAAAUAAGCAUUAUGCUGUUGCCUUGUGCUUCUCUUCUGUGUUUGCACCCACAGGUGGUUUCAGCCUCAUCUUAUAGAUACCUUAUAGCUGAGGAUGGUGUCUUUGUACACAAUACAUGUUCUUGGCAUUAUGCAGCUCAGUGGCUCUUCAAUGAGCAAGAUCUCAACAGAAAUUCCUCAUCUUGUUCCAUCUUCCACUGGAAAAGAGUGUCAGUGGGGCAACCCAAGGCAUAAUAACCUCAAAAGAAGGAUAGAGUUAUUCCUUGGUAUGCCUUUAAUGAAAGGUUUUCAAACCAAUCAGACAAAUUGUUCAGGAUCAACAAAGCCCAUGUCAGUAGGAUUGCUCUCACUCACGUGGGGAGAGCAUGGAAAGAAAAUUUGUUAGAAUUGAUCUCAGGUUGGAUAUUAGAAAGAGUAGUGGUAAUGCAUUGGCACAGGCUGCCUGGGGAU